CCGACCUACGGCUACAUGGCAAUCAUGGACCCCAGCACCAACAAACUAACCUACAUCCCACUCACUCAAGAAUUCGAAGCAUUUGGAUGCUCACCCCCCUGCAGAAUUCGACUCUCUGGAGACGCUGACGCGUCGAGACCCAUCCUCCCAAAACACUUCGUGGUCUACCUUCAUAGCGGCAACUUCAUAAAAGAGCCAUACGUCGCCGCUCGCGCCCUCGGCCCCGAAUGCCGCCUAAAUGGAGUGCCCCUCGAGAUAAAUCAAGAAUUCGAACUAAAAGACCAAGACGAAAUCGAUAUCAGCGGAUAUCAAUUCCGAUACGUCAUCUACCCAAUUCGCGUCAAUCAGUUUAUCGCGUAUCGAGAAAGCAAGUAUCUCGAACAAUCCAGCGCCAAGGUGAACGAAUUCCUCAAAAGUCCAGACGGACGUAAUUUCGGUUUCCUUCAAAACACAAUUCUGACGCAAAAUAACGGAUCUGCAAUUAAAAAUA